ensembl:lncRNA
GGCACAGAAAUACAUGAUCAAUUAUUUAAUGCAUUUUAUUUCAAAAAUAUAAAAUAUAUAUUUUAUAAAGAUAUAUUUAUGAUAUUUAAAUAAAAUAUUGUUAGGAAUAAAAUUUAUAGGAAUCUUGAUUUUAUUAUAUUUAUAAAUAAUAAAAAAUAGAUUAAAAGUAGAAUUUUCACAACAUUUUUGAUAGAUGCUGUUAAAUAAACUAUUUGAUACAUGUUUUAGAUACUUUCUAGGGUUUAUUGCUGCUACUUUAUAGCAUAGUUCACGUUUAAACAAGCAGCUUGGCCCAAACAAACUGAGUUUAAAGAGCGUCCCAUUCGGGACGGGUUGCGAAUGAGAUCCAGCAGCAGUUCGGUGGGAGGUCCCUUUAAGUUUCCAUUGAGGGAGGCCGCACUAUGUCACAUGAUGAACAUGAUAUAAUAAAACAGCGAACAGAAAAGUGUGUGUGUCCAUGACUACAAAAUAAGACUAAAGCAACGCAGUCGGCCAGUACACGCCCCAUUUUCAGAGAUGGGGCUACUGGAGCUGCAGUGUUCCCAACAUCACCCAGUGAUGAUUUCGUAGUGCGGACCGGACUGCACCUGCUGCCACGCAUAAAACGUACUUCACAGAAACGCAAGAGGACGCAUGAAGUUAUCUGCGACUCCUUCAUAUGAUGAAUGACACAGUUAACGCAAACUCCUCGCGCGCAUGUGAGAACUGAGAAAUGUGCGGAUUGAGCAACAAAUGUGACUGUAUUGGUGGUCCCGGGGCAGGUGCUUUCUGGGUCACGGGGCGGUUGGAGCUUUGGAGGGAUGCCUGUAUGUCUUUAAAUGCUGUAAGACCUGUGAAAGAGGCUGUUGGGGUGAACAGUGGGUUAUCCAAGUUAAGCACUUCAGUUUUGGGAAGCAGCCUUGGCCCCGGGCCCUCUGUUAAGAGAUCUCUGCUUUAUGACUCGCCCCUGUGGUUAGCUGGAAGGCUGACCCCGUGCCGCUGACAAGCCUUCAAAGCAAAGACUGUGAACAACACACAGGCAACUGCGGCAGAUUUAUUUUUUUCCUUUGCUGUUAAUCGCCGCUGAGAUGGACCCUCUGACAGAUGAUCUGAUUUAAGGCUUGUUUGCUGCGUGAGUCACAGGAAGUACGCUUCAGCGCAAGUGCAGUGAAAUGAAGAACAAAUGUGCACUGUAAACUCGGGGCGGUGUGGGGGGGGGUAGCAGACAUCCGUAAAGAUUGUGGGGGGGAGUGCCGAGUUACGUGAGCCGUAGCCGUCGGCUAGACGUGAGUCAGUUAAGACUCAUGGUACUUAUUCAAUUAUGCAUACAGUACAGUAAUAUAAAGGCCUAUGAGACUUCCAAGAAGCUAUUCCCUCACAGGCAGGAAUGUGUCAUUUCUCGGAAGACGGUGUUGGUUUAAAUAUAAAUGUGAUGAUCUUUACACACUGUGUUGAGUUUGUGGUUAUUCGCAGCCCCUCAACCCCCUUCCUAGGGUGUGGUGGUUGAAACUUAGGACUGGUAAUUGGAAGGUUGCUGGUUUAAUCCCGAAAGGAGUCAGACAUCACCGCUGUGCCCCUUAGCAAGGUAUGUAGAGGGGUUAAUUUACCCAAAAAUAAAAACUGACAUGAAUUUGAAACA